rnacentral:rRNA from 1 species
UACGGAGGAUCCAAGCGUUAUCCGGAUUCAUUGGGUUUAAAGGGUGCGUAGGCGGAAUGAUAAGUCAGUGGUGAAAUCCUGCAGCUUAACUGCAGAACUGCCAUUGAUACUGUCAAUCUUGAGUACAUUUGAUGAGGGCGGAAUGUGUCAUGUAGCGGUGAAAUGCUUAGAUAUGACACAGAACACCGAUUGCGAAGGCAGCUCUCAAAACUGUAACUGACGCUGAGGCACGCAAGCGUGGGUAUCAAACAGG